rnacentral:rRNA from 1 species
GACAGAGGGGGCAAGCGUUGCUCGGAAUUACUGGGCGUAAAGAGCGCGCAGGCGGUCGUUCAAGUCGAGUGUGAAAGCCCCCGGCUCAACUGGGGAGGGUCACUCGAUACUGAUCGACUCGAAGGCAGGAGAGGGUAGUGGAAUUCCCGGUGUAGUGGUGAAAUGCGUAGAUAUCGGGAGGAACACCAGUGGCGAAGGCGACUACCUGGCCUGUUCUUGACGCUGAGGCGCGAAAGCUAGGGGAGCAAACGGG